GGGCGUGGUCAAACCGCCACCCUAUAAAUAGGUCCCGGCUGCGCUCAGGGCUCCUCUCGGCCGCUGCUGCCGCCAUUUUCUGUGGCCGCCGGUACCGGCCGCCUCCAUCCGCCUCCAUCCGCCUCCAUCCGCCGCCCACGGUGCCGCUCGCCCGCCGGGACUGAGCGCGGAGCCUCCGCACCGCCAUGAGGGCCAAGUGGCGCAAGAAGCGAAUGCGCAGGCUGAAGCGCAAGAGAAGGAAGAUGAGGCAGAGGUCCAAGUAGACGCCGCCCGGUACCGCGGGAAGGGUUCGGUACCGCGGGAUGGACCCGCUGCACCGGGCCGGUGCUGUUGCUCCGUGGCCGCCGUUGUGCCGCGAAUAAAGUUGUUGCUUUCGGGAAA